GAAAUGCGAUAAUUAAUGUGAAUUGCAGAAUUCAGUGAAUCAUCGAGUCUUUGAACGCACAUUGCGCCCCCUGGUAUUCCGGGGGCAUGCCUGUCCGAGCGUCAUUGCUGCCCUCAAGCACGGCUUGUGUGUUGGGCUUCCGUCCCUGGCAACGGGGACGGGCCCAAAAGGCAGUGGCGGCACCAUGUCUGGUCCUCGAGCGUAUGGGGUUUGUCACCCGCUCCCGUAGGUCCAGCUGGCAGCUAGCCUCGCAACCAAUCUUUUUAACCAGGUUGACCUCGGAUCAGGUAGGGAUACCCGCUGAACUUAAGC
rnacentral:misc_RNA from 1 species